CGCCUCCCCUGGGUCCCGCCGACGGCGCUGCGUGGGCGUUGCAGGACCCGGCGCCGCCCCGGGAGGGACCCGGCGCCGCAGCAGCGCAUGGAGGGUUUUUUUUUAAAAGACAGCAACAAAUCCCGUCUACAACCGCCGGCUCCGAUGGGGGCUGCAGUCAGACCUCUGAAAAUGCAGGAAAUGCAUACGCUAAUUAGCGGCCCAGAUUAUAGAGCAGACAAUGACCCCGCGCUUGCUGCUACCCAAAAUUUCUAAGAAUUCGCGUGCGGAGGAGUAAAACCCAGCAAGGCUUGGUGCCGCAGACGUCAGCGCGUGCCUGGACCGCCCGUCCGUGCCCAGUGCCUGUAGCUAUUCUUUGCAAGCCUCAGUGUCCGCAAUGACAGACUCUGCCGUGCCUUCCCGGAGGCUGGCUGCGCCCGAAGACUUUGAAGCGCGCAACGAAAGGAGGGAAGAGCCAUAAGUAUUGUGAAGGGGCUGGAGCAUCUUGCUUACAGGGGAAGGCUGCGAGAGCUGAGACUGCUCAGCCUGGAGGAUACCCAAGGAGGUCUUAUCCACAUGGACAUGGAAGGAUGCAGACGGAGCCUGGCUUCUCUCAGAGGUGCCCACUGACAGGACAGGAGGUUGGGGAGAAUUGCUGAACCCUGCAGCGCCAAGGCGAGCUCCAAAGCAGCGCCCUGGCAGUACUGGUGCCACCGAGAGCCCCUUCGGAGAGACAACCUCGCUGCUUGUUCUUGGCAUUCACAGGCUGUGACCUCCCCAGGGAACGGCAGUCCCACCGUGGGGAGAGUCUGGAGCUGAACCCGGCCAGGAGGAUGCUUGGCGAACAGAAACGGCCGUGGCACAGGCUCGAAGGCAAGAGCCCACAGGGGUGUGGAGGACAGGAGAGGAUGCCUGGAGCUUGCUGCCUUUGCCCGUGCCUGUGGCUGCCGAUGCCCUAGCAGCGGAUAACUUACUGGAAACGAAGAGCUGCUUGAUAAAUCCCUGACGAGGUCCUCUGGCUUGCAUGAAACCUAAAAUCCUGCAGCGGUUUCCAGUCCCGGGGAUGGGGUGAGCUGGCUGCUGAAGGGCUGUUGAGCCAUCCAAAAAGUGGUGUUAGAGCUAAUAUUCAACUACACAAUUUGGAUAAGAAAAUGGGAGCUUCCAGCUUUGAUCCCGAGUGGCAGGAUGAAAAGGCUGAGAACACGACGGCAGAAGGUUACUUAUGAGCAUGACCAUGAGAUACAGAGGUCACAAUUUGUGGCAAGGCUCUGAAAGAAUAAAAAAUGCAGAAAAGAGAAAAAAAGGCAUCCCCAAAACCAAAGAAAAUAACCACCAAUGACCUUCAAUAGGGUAAAGUCCAAUAAACUCAGAACUGGUAGGUAAGAUCCUUUGGGAAACAAGACCACAUGAAAAAAGGACUCCAGGAAAAUUGGCAGUUCUUUAAAAAUGCCAUUAAGGCACGUGUACAAUCCAUCCCAAUGCAAAGGAGCAAUAAGAAGGGCAGGAAGAGACCACAGUGGCUAAAUCAUGAGCUCUUUUAUUGACUCUGAGUAAAAUAGAAUUGUACAGAAAAUAAAACGUGGAUCAGCUCUCUGAAAAACGGAGCGUAGGAGAGUACGAUAAGCAUCGAGGAAAAAGCAGAAAGACAAAAGCACAGAGCAAGGGUCAAGUCGAAAGGCACUCCGCAGCACAGCCGUUCAGCUGCGUUAGCUGCAAGGGGAGGCCCAGGAAACUUCAGGUUCACGACUGGAUGAACGCAGAUCGGGGGGACUCGCAGAUGGUGCCUUCGGGGACGGCUGAAGCGCCGAGAGCUUCUCUUUCCUCUCGUCUCUGCUGAAAACAGCAACAGCCAACACGGUGAAGAGGUUGAUCACCCACUUCUGUGGACUGACUGAAAUCUAUUUGCCUGACACACAGUGACAGAAGCAGGGCUGAGAUGUUGCGUGGGACAAACUAUAUCACGUCUCAUCUAUCACAGUGAAACAGGGUCUACACAAAGGUUGCAAGGGCUUCUCUGACUUCCCCGCUCCUGUGCACGCGAGGAGGUCGCCGGUGGUGGCGGAUCCUGGACAAGUGAGAAGGUGGGAUUUGCCUCUGCAUGGUGUGUCCUGGCUGUGACAAAACCCGCAGCUGUGUCCUACUUCCUCAGAAGGCAGUGGGGGCCCGCGUCCGCUGCAGCUCCGGAAAGGCCGGGGUCUAACGUUUUUAGAAACAACAGAAAAAUGGAAAGGGUGAAGACAGGAGUCGCAUGGGACGACAAUCACCUUCCUCUCAGUGUUCAGGACUUACUCAUUACACGGUGUCUUCUUUCACUGCCUCAUCCCCGAGAUGUGCAAUGAAGACAAAAUGACGUGGGCGACUGACAGUGUGGGAGAAAGGACAAAGAAAUCUAAUGCCAGGUUCCCAAGCUGCCUCCCCACGGUGCAGGUCUCAGGCUCUCCUGGAGUCUCCCCAGCCUGUCCCCUUUGCUGACGUUGGCGGAGCAGCAUCAGGCGACCUGCUGCCAAGACACGGGCCAUCAAAUGUUCUACCACAGCUGAGGGAAAGUGCAGACUGUAAGAGAAAUACAAGAAUGUGCCUACUGGCUACACUGACGUGCUGCAGACUUUGGAGCAGAAGUGGGCUUUGAAAACUGGGGCUCAGGAGAGCUACAGUGCGAAAAAACUGCUGGAUCUGAAAAAUUCUCAUGUGCUACAGCUGUGUUUUUCUGCUGUCCUGAAGACAAAGAUCUUUCUAGUUGGCAUUAAUAAUAAGAACACAGGUGCCACAUGAAGUCCUGCAUCGAGUUCAACAUCCUGCUGCUUUGGCACUUCAGUGUGAAAGCCCUUCUAUAAAUUUAUUCAACACAGAGUAAGCACAGUCUGUACGAUCGCUGCAACGAAUACAGCACGGUGCCCAUACGUGUGCUGGGUGAGCCGAGCUCCCCUCCUGGAGGUGAGGAGGCUGUAGACCAGCCACCUCCAGCUUUUCUGAAAGUUCCAGUGCAAAACUGUCCGUCAGGACCCCGACACCACUGCCAUGGUCCUCGCUAGUCCAUAAACUCUUUAGAAGAUUUUGCAACAAGCCAAAUCUCCUCCUCACAAGGAUUUUUUCUUGGCUAGCCUCGCAAACUUCAGCGACUGUUCCAACAAGGUUUGCACCUUCUU